GGUUAAGCGACUAAGCGUACACGGUGGAUGCCCUGGCAGUCAGAGGCGAUGAAGGACGUGCUAAUCUGCGAAAAGCGUCGGUAAGGUGAUAUGAACCGUUAUAACCGGCGAUGUCCGAAUGGGGAAACCCAGUGCAAUUCGUUGCACUAUCGUUAACUGAAUACAUAGGUUAACGAGGCGAACCGGGGGAACUGAAACAUCUAAGUACCCCGAGGAAAAGAAAUCAACCGAGAUUCCCCCAGUAGCGGCGAGCGAACGGGGAGCAGCCCAGAGUCUGAAUCAGCUUGUGUGUUAGUGGAACGGUCUGGAAAGUCCGACGGUACAGGGUGAUAGUCCCGUACACCAAAAUGCACAGGCUGUGAACUCGAAGAGUAGGGCGGGACACGUGGUAUCCUGUCUGAAUAUGGGGGGACCAUCCUCCAAGGCUAAAUACUCCUGACUGACCGAUAGUGAACCAGUACCGUGAGGGAAAGGCGAAAAGAACCCCGGCGAGGGGAGUGAAAAAGAACCUGAAACCGUGUACGUACAAGCAGUGGGAGCACCUUCGGGUGUGACUGCGUACCUUUUGUAUAAUGGGUCAGCGACUUAUAUUCUGUAGCAAGGUUAACCGUAUAGGGGAGCCGCAGGGAAACCGAGUCUUAACUGGGCGUUAAGUUGCAGGGUAUAGACCCGAAACCCGGUGAUCUAGCCAUGGGCAGGUUGAAGGUUGGGUAACACUAACUGGAGGACCGAACCGACUAAUGUUGAAAAAUUAGCGGAUGACUUGUGGCUGGGGGUGAAAGGCCAAUCAAACCGGGAGAUAGCUGGUUCUCCCCGAAAGCUAUUUAGGUAGCGCCUCGUGAAUUCAUCUUCGGGGGUAGAGCACUGUUUCGGCUAGGGGGUCAUCCCGACUUACCAACCCGAUGCAAACUACGAAUACCGAAGAAUGUUAUCACGGGAGACACACGGCGGGUGCUAACGUCCGUCGUGAAGAGGGAAACAACCCAGACCGCCAGCUAAGGUCCCAAAGUCAUGGUUAAGUGGGAAACGAUGUGGGAAGGCACAGACAGCCAGGAUGUUGGCUUAGAAGCAGCCAUCAUUUAAAGAAAGCGUAAUAGCUCACUGGUCGAGUCGGCCUGCGCGGAAGAUGUAACGGGGCUAAACCAUGCACCGAAGCUGCGGCAGCGACACUAUGUGUUGUUGGGUAGGGGAGCGUUCUGUAAGCCUGCGAAGGUGACCUGUGAGGGUUGCUGGAGGUAUCAGAAGUGCGAAUGCUGACAUAAGUAACGAUAAAGCGGGUGAAAAGCCCGCUCGCCGGAAGACCAAGGGUUCCUGUCCAACGUUAAUCGGGGCAGGGUGAGUCGACCCCUAAGGCGAGGCCGAAAGGCGUAGUCGAUGGGAAACAGGUUAAUAUUCCUGUACUUGGUGUUACUGCGAAGGGGGGACGGAGAAGGCUAUGUUAGCCGGGCGACGGUUGUCCCGGUUUAAGCAUGUAGGCUGAUUGUCCAGGCAAAUCCGGAUAAUCAAGGCUGAGGUGUGAUGACGAGGCACUACGGUGCUGAAGUAACAAAUGCCCUGCUUCCAGGAAAAGCCUCUAAGCAUCAGGUAACAUUAAAUCGUACCCCAAACCGACACAGGUGGUCAGGUAGAGAAUACCAAGGCGCUUGAGAGAACUCGGGUGAAGGAACUAGGCAAAAUGGUGCCGUAACUUCGGGAGAAGGCACGCUGGUGUGUAGGUGAAGUCCCUGCGGAUGGAGCUGAGACCAGUCGAAGAUACCAGCUGGCUGCAACUGUUUAUUAAAAACACAGCACUGUGCAAACACGAAAGUGGACGUAUACGGUGUGACGCCUGCCCGGUGCCGGAAGGUUAAUUGAUGGGGUUAUCCGUAAGGAGAAGCUCUUGAUCGAAGCCCCGGUAAACGGCGGCCGUAACUAUAACGGUCCUAAGGUAGCGAAAUUCCUUGUCGGGUAAGUUCCGACCUGCACGAAUGGCGUAAUGAUGGCCAGGCUGUCUCCACCCGAGACUCAGUGAAAUUGAACUCGCUGUGAAGAUGCAGUGUACCCGCGGCAAGACGGAAAGACCCCGUGAACCUUUACUAUAGCUUGACACUGAACAUUGAGCCUUGAUGUGUAGGAUAGGUGGGAGGCUUUGAAGCGUGGACGCCAGUCUGCGUGGAGCCAACCUUGAAAUACCACCCUUUAAUGUUUGAUGUUCUAACGUUGGCCCCUUACCGGGGUUGCGGACAGUGUCUGGUGGGUAGUUUGACUGGGGCGGUCUCCUCCCAAAGCGUAACGGAGGAGCACGAAGGUUAGCUAAUCCUGGUCGGACAUCAGGAGGUUAGUGCAAUGGCAUAAGCUAGCUUGACUGCGAGCGUGACGGCGCGAGCAGGUGCGAAAGCAGGUCAUAGUGAUCCGGUGGUUCUGAAUGGAAGGGCCAUCGCUCAACGGAUAAAAGGUACUCCGGGGAUAACAGGCUGAUACCGCCCAAGAGUUCAUAUCGACGGCGGUGUUUGGCACCUCGAUGUCGGCUCAUCACAUCCUGGGGCUGAAGUAGGUCCCAAGGGUAUGGCUGUUCGCCAUUUAAAGUGGUACGCGAGCUGGGUUUAGAACGUCGUGAGACAGUUCGGUCCCUAUCUGCCGUGGGCGCUGGAGAAUUGAGGGGGGCUGCUCCUAGUACGAGAGGACCGGAGUGGACGCAUCACUGGUGUUCGGGUUGUCAUGCCAAUGGCACUGCCCGGUAGCUAAAUGCGGAAGAGAUAAGUGCUGAAAGCAUCUAAGCACGAAACUUGCCCCGAGAUGAGUUCUCCCUGAGACUUUAAGUCUCCUGAAGGAACGUUGAAGACGACGACGUUGAUAGGCCGGGUGUGUAAGCGCAGCGAUGCGUUGAGCUAACCGGUACUAAUGAACCGUGAGGCUUAACCUU
rnacentral:rRNA from 1 species